GGGGUGUAGACUUUGGUUUACGUCAGAGCAUGCAAGGUUGCAUCUUUUUUUCAUUGGUUUCUGUUCUGUCUGGAUUCACCCAGGGCCACUGCUGGUGGUAUAAACACCCUUUUAAUAGGUUGCUUGGGGCAUGGCCCACUGUGAUCAAGGGCAGCACAUUCAGUCCCUGUCAUUAAAUAGCGCUCCCUUUAAUCCCUGGAGGUGGAUGACGUUCUGCAAUUUACAAUGUGGCAAAUGCAUCUGGCAGUGUUGAGAUAUGGGUUAUGAGAAAGGCACAUAUGCAAACACAGAAAACUGUUCCAAGCGAGGUCAGAACAAUUCACAAUACGUACUUUGGCUCGGCUUGCUGAUCAUCCUCAAAACCUAUGUACAGAAAAUUGCAGGCGAGACUAAUAAAAACAUAAUGAGUCCUGACCAGCGAGAAUAGUUUAUUAUGAUUCGCUUUAAUAGUCUUCUCACUGCUCUUCCCUCAUGCCAGCAAAUAUCUGCCGUUGCCUGCAGAUGAACCUUUUUCAGACUGCCAUGAAUCACGCCGCAGGAGAGGCACCACAUGGGAGGUGUGUUUGGGCUACAUCUGGAAAAACAGUGCUGGAUGGUGGCUGCACGUUGCCCACAGCCCUGGCAGAGGCACAGCAAGAUUGGCAAGGCGUGGACCUACAUGCCCAGCUUCCUAUUUCUUCUCCUGGGAGCAUCCAAC
rnacentral:lncRNA from 1 species